rnacentral:rRNA from 1 species
UACAGAGGGUGCAAACGUUGCUCGGAAUCAUUGGGCGUAAAGCGCGCGUAGGCGGCCCGGUAAGUCCGUUGUGAAAGUCAAAGGCUCAACCUUUGAAAGCCGAUGGAUACUGCCGGGCUGGAGUCCGGAAGAGGCGAGUGGAAUUCCUGGUGUAGCGGUGGAAUGCGCAGAUAUCAGGAGGAACACCAAUAGCGAAGGCAGCUCGCUGGGACGGUACUGACGCUGAGGCGCGAAAGCGUGGGGAGCGAACAGG